AGUCGUACUCCUAUAUAUACGCGGAUACAUAUUUAUAUAUAUUCCAUAUAUUUCAAGAGGCGGUUACACACUUGCACAUCCACCUCUCAACGCGAUCUAUUCGACGAAAUCAUCAAGAACACGACUAAGCUAUCUCUCUCUUUUCGUCUCUCACAAGGUUGUAGAUAGUCCCAUUGCAUGAUGGCUGGGCAGAGGAUUAACUAUGGCAAAAGAUCCCAUUCUCAGUCUGACUACGCUGGGAGUGAAGGUAGUAAGAGAAGAAAUCCUACUGAUGAGAGGGAACAGCAUGCUAUUGGGUCAGAAGAUACUGUAUACCGUUACUUAUGCCCUGUGAAAAGGAUUGGAAGUAUUAUUGGGAAGGGAGGCGACAUCGCAAAGCAAUUAAGGGCAGAAACUCAAUCAAAGAUUAGGAUUGGUGAGACUGUGCCUGGAUGCGAGGAGCGCGUUGUUACUCUAUAUAGCUCGAGUGAGGAAACCAAUAACUUUGAAGAUACUGAUGAGCUUGUUUCACCCGCACAAGAUGCUCUGUUUAGGGUGCAUGACAGGGUUGUUGCUGAAGAAACACUUGCUGAUGAUGAAUUCGAGGAGUCUCAACAAGUUACCAUUCGACUACUGGUGCCAUCAGAUCAGAUUGGAUGUGUUAUUGGGAAAGGUGGGCAAGUUAUUCAGAACAUGCGUACUGAAACUCGUGCUCAGAUUCGUGUUCUAAGUAGCGAACAUCUGCCACCUUGCGCUUUGAGUUCCGAUGAGCUUCUCCAGAUAACUGGUGAAGCUUCACUUGUGAAGAAGGCUCUCUUCCAAGUGGCAUCUCGUCUUCAUGAUAAUCCUUCAAGAUCUCAACACUUGCUCUUGUCUUCAUCAAGUAUUUAUAAAUCUGGUGGCGCAUUUAUGGGUGGUCCACAUGCACCAAUCAUGGGUGUAACUCCAUUUGUGAGUCCUUAUGGAGGUUACAAGAAUGAUAUUGGAGAUCGGUCAGCUUAUGUAAAGGAAUUCUCACUUCGCUUGGUUUGCCCAACUGAAAAUAUUGGAGGUGUUAUUGGAAAAGGUGGUGCGAUUAUAAACCAAAUCAGACAAGAAUCUAGGGCAUCUAUUAAGGUUGAUAGUUCAGGUGCUGAAGGAGAUGAUUGCAUUAUAUCCAUAUCCGCAAAGGAGUUAUUCGAAGACCCAUCCCCAACCAUUGACGCAGCAAUGCGAUUGCAACCAAGAUGUAGUCAGAAAGCUGAAAAAGAAUCAGGUGAUUCCAUAAUCACUACGCGUCUAUUAGUGCCAAGUUCUCGAAUUGGAUGCCUUAUUGGUAAAGGUGGAUCUAUCAUUUCGGAGAUGAGAAAUGUGACAAGAGCAAGCAUCCGCAUUCUUUCGAAGGAAAACCUUCCUAAAGUUGCUGCUGAAGACGAGGAGAUGGUGCAGAUUACUGGGGACCUCAAUGUUGCUAGCAAUGCCCUUGUACAAGUAACUAUGCGGUUAAAAGCCAAUUUGUUUGAAAUGGAGGGAGCUUUAGCUACUUUGCCACCAGUUCCCUACCUUCCCAUGUCAGUGGACAUGGCAGAUGGUUCCAAAUAUGGAAACCGUGAUAGUAAAUCACGUGGACGUGGAUAUUCUACUCACUCUGAUGAGUAUGAUUCCAGUGACAUGCGUCUCAGUGACAGAUACGGAAGUUAUGGUGGUUCGCAGAGCGGCGGCAGAAGUGGUUACGGAGCAUAUGGCAUUUAUUCUUCUGGUCCUUCUGGUGGUGCUGGGUUAUCGGGUCAUAACCCUGUUUCCCAUGGGAAACACCAUGGGUAUUAAAGUCCAGGAUUCUUGUGGCCUGCAGGUUAGCUUUUGAGACUAUGCUUCAAAUGCAAAAGCAUCAUUAGAGCUUUAGAUUCCCUGGGAGGUAGCUCUACAAAUCAUUCUGAAGUGAUGGUUUGAGCUCGAUAUGCUGUCAAAGGUUCAGACUGUUCAGUAACAUUUUAGAUACCAAGAUCCAUCAGCUAUGAGGUUUGAUGUGUGAUUGGAUCAGUUGCCACUACACUCAGGUAAGUUACUCUUUUUCUAGGUGCAAAGUAAUGUUCCAAAAUAAGAUGAGGUAACUGACCUGGAAAGCGAAAGAGCCUUUGUUGGGCUUUACUAACGUUCAUCUUGAAUAGAGCCAUUCCUUUAUCUCGAUGCAGAAGAUGGAGGGAGUUUUCGGGUGGAGCAGUUUGGUAGCUCGCAGGCUCAUAUGAGGUCACACGGGUUCGAAUCCUUGCUCUGCAGUCUUUCUUGAGUCAGAGAGAAUUAGGUAGAUAGUAUUUCGCUUGCCUAAUACAUCUUAGAAAGAUUCGGUUCCCAAACCUUCAAACCUCCAGCUACCCUUCGUUCCUUGGGGAGAGAGGCUUACUUAUUGACACCUAUGAGUGGCUUUGACUUUCUCACCAUCUGUGACCGAAACUGAAACCUUGGUCCCACCUAUGUUGUUGAGGUUGACGAACAGCCGUCCUCCUAGACAUUACCGCUAGAAUCGUAGUGGAGGGCUACUAAAAAAUAUAGGGCUUAUCCUUGAGUGUCAUUACUUUAGGUCUUUAUGAUUAGAUCUCCAAGUAGUGGUAGGAAUGGAUUCAAGUAAGAUUCAUUCUCCAUGAGACCUUCCCGGUCCUUUCUCGGAUUCUACGUGUAAUAAUAGGUUAUAGGUUAUAAAUAUGAUCGAAGCAAUGUCAUAAAAUAUUUAAAUAUACUCAAGUGAACUAAUAUAAAUAUAUAUAUAUAUAUAUAUACACACACACACAAAUUUCCUCCAUAUUUUUCCAAUAGCAAAUACAGCCACGUGAAGUUGGUAACAAUCGAUUGCUGUCCGUCCUUGCAUAGUACAAUAUGUACAAGCUGCCUGCCCAAACAAAGUGCCAGUAGAACUACAAUCUAGCUAUCCUUAACACAACAAUAUUUGCAAUUGCAUGUAUCCAAAUCUUUACUUCAGUAAGGACUAAACUCCUUUUAUUAAGUGAAAGAGAAUGUAGGCUGUCCGUCCUUGCAUAGUACAAUAUGUACAAGCUGCCUGCCCAAACAAAGUGCCAGUAGAACUACAAUCUAGCUAUCCUUAACACAACAAUAUUUGCAAUUGCAUGUAUCCAAAUCUUUACUUCAGUAAGGACUAAACUCCUUUUAUUAAGUGAAAGAGAAUGUAGGGUGAGGUGUUGAGGUUGAUGAGCCCUACAACAGUCCUACCCAUGUCUUUGUUUUGAUGUAUAAAGUUGUGUGUGGGUCAACAAGUCAGGUUGCAUAACAAAUCUCCAUCAUCCGAGAAACUUAAAAUAUAAAAAAAGGACUACAUGUAGAGGGAAUAAUAUAAUCCUUCUGAUUUGAAAUGGGACAGCGUCGUACCUGUCUUUUUAGACAAAAAUUCCUAUUUGUUUCUUUCAUUCUUUGUAACUUAUCAAAAUAGUAAUUUAAGAAUAUUCUCCUUGCCCUCCUCUUGCUCCCUACCUUUGCAAGUACCUUUCCACCAUAUAGUCCAUACUGUGGCCAAUUGCCUUUAUGCACUGGAUCUACAACAUUCGUACAAACACACACAAAGAGAGAGAUUUUAUAUAUAUAUAUAUAUAUAAAGAGAGAGAGAUGUUACCCAAUAAUUGACCCUAGAGGGGGGUGAAUUGGGUCUUUGGCAAACAAUGGAAUUUAAUCGAUUCAAUCAAAAUCUAAGUGAAAGUAACUAUACAAUUUUAUGCUAGAUAGAAAUUUAAAAAAUGAACAUAAAAUAAAUAGGUAAGGGAUAGAGAAAUUUAAAACACUUGGGUGGUUAGUUUGGUGUGGUUGAAUGAAAUAAAGUGAGAAUGGAAUGAAUCAGAUAAUGGAAUGGGAAUGGAAUGAAUCAUAUAAUGGAAUGGGAAUGGAAUGACCAUUCUCAUUCGCAUGUUUGGUUGCACAGAAAAACAUCCUAUUUUUGUAAAAAAAAUAUGUGUGUGUGUGUGUGUGUGUGUGUGUGUGUGUAUGUAUAUAUAUAUGUAGUUCCAUCAAAUGUUUUUUUUAUUCAUUUAUUUAUUAUUAUUAUUAUUAUUAAAGUGGGAAUGAAAUGGUCAUUCCUUUAGUUGGAAAGUGGAAUGAAUUAGUGGGAAUCACCAUUCUCGAAGAAUGGACAAGAAUCAUCAUUUCAACUUUAAAAGUUAGUUACCAUACUAAAGAAUGAAAACAAAAACAUUCCAUUCCUACUUCAUUUGAUUCCAUUCACUCACACCAAACAUGGCAUUGACACCAAGAUUUUAGCGAGGUUCAGAAUCUCCUACUUCACGGUUCAAGAUCUUUCUUGAGACUUCCCAAUCCACUAGGCUUCUCCUUUCGAGUAGGGAGCAAACCGGAACAAGAAGUACACCACUUCUCAAAUGCUUAGAGAACAACCUUCUCCAAGACUUCCUUUAGGGUCACACCAACCCUUGGAUUAGUAGUGUUACAAUUUGUUGUUUCUCUAGUUAUGUAGCGUGCUUCUUUGGUCUCUCACCGGAUUAUGUGGUGCAGCUUUAUAAUGUACUACUGCCAUCUCUUAGGACAUUGCUUCCCUCCUAUUUUUGGUUCCAAUUCAAGCACAUAAGAUUCAAGAAAAUUUUGGAAUCUUUAUAUCACUAGUCACCUGGAUUUUCAAUUUCCUCCCAAUUUGUUAAUUGGGUUUUCUUCUCAAUUGGUUUGCUAGUUUGAUAUAUGCAUCAAGUGAAUUCCUUUUUUGUCCUUGCAGUAAUCAGGAAAUGUUGAUUUUUUGAGGGUACUAGGAAGUUCUUUAUCAUUUAUAGAUACAGCUGGUUUGAUCAAUGUCCGCUUCUACACGGAAGAUGAUUGCAUAGAUAUGGCUGCUUUCUUGGGGACCCCACUGUGCUUUAAUAGCCGUUGGUUCAAAAUCUAUCAUUGGGCUUAAUGUUAUUUUGUGCAUUAUCUUGCUGGUUUUUCAAUGCUACAACCUGCAGGGUCUAUAUUUCCAGCAUGCUUAAUCAUGUGAUUGUCUGAUGAAGUGCAAUCGAUAAAUAGUUGGAUCACUAGUUGAUUUCUGCAGAAGUUGCAAGAACUAUUGACUAAUGAUUUGCAAAAUGCCGGCCUUCUGGUGUUGUCUCUUCAAGGAGAGUAAGUGCAUGCAUAAUGAAGUAUGCAAGUGGCUAUUGUUAAUGGCAGCAAUUGUGCGCUCUGCUGCGGGUUGGGGUUUGGUGCCCAGUUGGUCUAACGUUAUAUGGUUGUUGGUGGUUCAGUUUCAUUAAACGGAGCAUCAUUUGGUUUGUACGAUCUUCACGAUGCAGUUAUAGGAAGUAUUUUAUUUCAUUAUUAGUUUAGUGUUCACUCCCACUAUUGUUUCCUCCUCUCCAUUUUAGUAAUUAAAAGUAUUGUUGAUUAGGAUAACGUUUUUUUCGUUUUAGUUGUGUCGGGGUGUCUUGAAUUAUGAAUAAAACCAAAAGAAACAGACGUUACCCCGUUAAGAGUUAGAUAUCUCAUUUCAAACUUAAUUUGGAGAGUGAUUUUUUUUCAUUUGGACA